rnacentral:rRNA from 1 species
UACGUAGGGUGCAAGCGUUAAUCGGAAUUACUGGGCGUAAAGCGUGCGCAGGCGGUUUUGUAAGUCUGUCGUGAAAUCCCCGGGCUCAACCUGGGAAUUGCGAUGGAGACUGCAAGGCUAGAAUCUGGCAGAGGGGGGUAGAAUUCCACGUGUAGCAGUGAAAUGCGUAGAGAUGUGGAGGAACACCGAUGGCGAAGGCAGCCCCCUGGGUCAAGAUUGACGCUCAUGCACGAAAGCGUGGGGGAGCAAAC